ensembl:lncRNA
CUGCAGAGACGCCGGCCCUCGUGGACUGAGAUUGCCCACCCCUGAGUUAUACCCUGGAGAUAAAUUGUUAAAAACUUCAGUUAGCGAACUCAGAUCAAUACUCACACUGGAUGAAUCAAAAAUUACAGAAUAAAAUACAGGCCUACAAGCCUCACACUUCCGGCCUCAGCGGUCUUUGAGUGCGGCCCUUGAGGACCGUUAAGGCUGCGUACUUUAAGGCUGCAGACCCUGAAUUGGGAUAGAGCCAUACAUACAUGUUUUGGUUCGUGCAACAGGACCGUCCGGUUAUUGUCUCCCCAGAAACAUUUCCGUUGUCUUUUUUCCUAUUUCCGUUGUGUUGUGUGUGCUUUUGCAGCGUUUUUCUUUUUGCAGCGUUUUUUUCUUUUUGCAGCGUUUUUUUCUAUUUGCAAGUGUUUUCUGAAGUUGCAGUCCGUUUGGUCUCUCAGGGCCACCGUACCCAUCCCAGUUUUAACAAAACUCUAGUUCUAUACAUUCACACCCAUCCAGACCACUCACAGUUCACAACACACCAACACAACAUAGCAUUGUCAAAACAGAGUGGGAGGGGAGGGCACAUCUCUCUACACCCCUUGUUCCCCAGCCCGUUCACACAUCUUGUCAGGCGGUUUGUGGAGUGCUUUUGUCACGGUUGGACGGUCCUCCCCGGACAACCUGCUUGUUUAUUUGUGAUGUGUGUGUGCCUUCCUCUCUUUCUGUCUUCCUCCCUAUUCUGCGGGUCGGGCUAUGCCUAGGGGCGGCGUCUCCGAGAGAGCGAGAAAGGCCGACCUCUGACCCGGAAGAGUAAUCUUCAGCUCCAGCUGCCGCUAAUCAUUCCUCACUAAACGGAGGUAUUUAACGGUGUGUCGAGACGGCAGUCGACGCUGGAUUGUACUCGGAGCUCGGUGGAGAAGUACGGGACGCAGGAGUGGAGAAAAAGGAUUCACUGGUGUUUUCGGGAGAAGGAAUUCACACGGAAGUAGUGCACACCGACCUCAUGGGGAAACUCACCUUCACCACUUUUGGGAAUUUAGAGAAAGGACAUUGUUGGAUAUCUCACUGUUUGAAGACUGUAUUUCAAGCACUGUAAAUAAACGCACUGUCGGCUUCAACCCAGAGCUCCGUGCCUGAAUCCAUACCGCUCAUUAGCCCUGACAGCUUUGGCUUCAUCCCAGUUUGCUGCUCGUUCAUAGUGGCAUCUGCUGACCAACACCGCAGAGGAGCAGGGGGUGAAUGUGUGCACAUGUGUCUUUGUCUUUCUAUGUGUCACUAGUGGGUUGGUGAGAGUGAGUAACUGGAUGGUGUCUGUGUGUGCAUGUGUACACUACCAGUCAAAAGUUUGGACAAACCUCCUCAUUUACUGUUUUUUCUUUAUUUUUACUACUACUGCUACAUUGUAGAUACAAACUGAAGACAUCGAAUAUAUGAAGCAAUAUGUGGAAUCAUGUAGCAAAGAAAAAAUUAUAAGUAACUCUAAAUAUGUUUUGUAUUUUAGAUUCCUGAAAGUAGCCACCCUUUGCUUUGUUGACAGUGCUACAAACACUUUGCCUUCUCCCAAUGAGUUUCAUGAUGAUGUCACCUGAAAUGGUUUUGACUUCACAGGUGUCCCUUGACAAGGUUCAUUUGUGAAACUUCUUACCUUCUUAAUGGAGUUGCGACCGUCAGUUGGGUUGUGCAAAAGUUGGGUUGGUACACAGCUGACAGCCCUAUUUGAAACUGUUAGAAUUCAUAUUAUGGCAAGAACCAAUCAAGUAAAGAGAAAUGACAGUCCAUCAUUACUUUAAGAACUGAAGCACUACAACUGGCUCACGCGAGAAUCGUCCCAGGAAAGGAAGACAAAGAGUAACCUCCGCUAGCUGAGGAUAAAUACAUCCGAGUCAUCAGACUCAGAAAUAGGAAGUUAACAGCAUCUCAGAUUAGACCAGAUAAAUGCCACACAGAGCUCCAGUAGCAGACACAUCUCUACAUCAACUGUUCAGAGGAGACUGCAUGAAUCUGGCCUUUAUGGUCAAAUAGCUGCUAAGAAACCAAUACUAAGGAAAAUGUCUCUUACAGAUCCAGCAGUUGGUGAUACAUCGUGCAUUCCUAUUUGUUUCUGUUCCCCCAUUCAACUCCUGAUGAAGGCACUCAUAUGGCCUUUACUGCUUUGUAUUAACAAAAUUGGCCAGCAAAUAUUUACAUAUUUCUCUUUAUUUUCCAGGUCAGAUAGUAAACACAGCUGUUCUCGCAUAAUGGGGAGAGUCUUGAACUAAUCCAGUAUUUUACAGGAGUUUUAUACUUUCAUUGGGACACCUGUUGUUUUUACUUAUUUAAACUGUACUCCUCAUUUCAAGAAUUUAAUUCCUGUUUCAGGAUCCACACAGCCCAAUACCUACAAUCGUACUCAGCAGCAGUGACGGCAAGCCCUUGAAUGAUUCAACUGAGGUCAAUGUCCAGAUGGAUGGACAAAAAAUGAUUCUGGACAAUGGACAUUUCAUUGGCGAUGGGUAUUGUCUUCUCCCUGUACCAUGUCUACAAUGUUGCCUAUCCAAGUGAACUAAAAAAGACAUUUUGCUUUUUGGAGGCAUUUGUUCUCAACUUGGGAACUCUGACUACACCUGUACCAGUAGCUGUGCAAAGAGUGGCAAAUGCAUUAAAUAUCUCCUAGACUGCCAGCAUAGUGCAGGUGAGAGACCGAUAUUGUCCCAAUAUGGACUAACAAAGGACCAUGAGUCCCACAUUAAACUUAACUUACAUAACUUAAGGCUGCAGUUCAUUGAUAAUUUAAAUAAAAAGAUUGUUCUUGAAAUAGUUUUACUGAAAAUGCAAACAUGCUGAUGAAAAUGUGUUGUUUAAUUGUCUGUUAUGAAAGUAUUGCUAUUUCUAAUGUAAUAAGUGUUGUUUUAUCUAUAGUAUAAUAUUUAUAUGUAUUUAUUUAUAGUAUAGUAAAGAUAUUUAGUUAUUACUGUUUAAAUGACUUAUAUGCUAUUAUUAGUAGUGGUGUUGUGCUUAGCGUUAAAAUGCCUUUUUGUCUUUUUCUGUAAUACAAAGUGCCAAUAAACCAUUAAUAUAUGUCUAUGUGCUUGUAUUUAUUUUACCCUACUCUAGUUAAUUCAAUUUAAGAUGCAUUUUAUUUUGAAAGAUUUAAAAUGGUUCUUUAAAGAACCACUCAGAAAAGGGUUCUUUAAGAUGGGUCUUUAAAGAACCACUUGAAAGACCUUUUUAAAAAUAGUUCUUCAAAGAACCAUUUUUUUAAAAAGGGGGCAAAAAAGCCACAGGUAUAUUACUACUUUCUAUGUAGCUAUUCUUGUAAAAGCAAAAUAUGUUAGGCACCACAGUGCAUUCAGAUCACAAUUCUGCUUGCAAAGCUGCCAGACAGUACAAAAAACAAACAAAAGAAAAAAACAAACAAGCAAACAGAAAUGCUUCACUGAUAUAUAUAACAAUCAUUUAUUUUCGUUGAAAACCAGACAGAGACCUGAGGCAGAGCUAACCAAAUCCAACUCCACCUGAGAAUAUUAAAAGGAAAGAAAGAAAGAUAAACACAAACAAAACCCCAAACCCACUCUCAGAGGGUUGAAUGGCAGUUUGAGGUGCGG